CCUUCGAUAGCUCAGUUGGUAGAGCGGUGGACUGUAGCGGUUCUGAUUAUUUCGUGGAGAUAGAGAGAUAUCCAUAGGUCGCUGGUUCAAAUCCGGCUCGAAGGA
rnacentral:tRNA from 1 species